rnacentral:rRNA from 1 species
GAUGAACGCUGGCGGCGUGCCUAAUACAUGCAAGUCGAGCGAAUGGAUUAAGAGCCUGCUCUUAUGAAGUUAGCGGCGGACGGGUGAGUAACACGUGGGUAACCUGCCCAUAAGACUGGGAUAACUCCGGGAAACCGGGGCUAAUACCGGAUAACAUCUUGAACCGCAUGGUUAGAAAUUGCAAGGCGGCUUCGGCUGUCACGUAGGCGUGGACCCGCGUCGCAUUUGCCAGUUGGUGAGGUAACGGCUCACCAAGGCAACGACGCGUAGCCGACCUGAGAGGGUGAUCGGCCACACUGGGACUGAGACACGGCCCAGACUCCUACGGGAGGCAGCAGUAGGGAAUCUUCCGCAAAGGACGAAAGCCUGACGGAGCAACGCCGCGUGAGUGAUGAAGGCUUUCGGGUCGUAAAACUCUGUUGUUAGGGAAGAACAAGUGCUAGUUGAAUAAGCUGGCACCUUGACGGUACCUUACGAGAAAGCCACGGCUAACUACGUGCCAGCCGCCGCGGUAA